CCCGGUUAGAUAGAUUGAUCCAAAAGAUUAACCAACUCGCAGUUAUUAUGCUAUCCAGAGAUUAUUCCAAUAUGCAAGCCGUGUAGGGAUUGGAUGCAACUGGAGAUCGACCAGCAAAUUCUCUGACCAAGGGUCGGACCAAAUCUUUUUCAUCUAGAAUUCGGAUAAAGAGCUAUCCGAUCAUGGGUCGAAUCAAAGAUUAACCGACCAGGGGUCGGACCAGGCACACGCCGACUAAGGGUCAGGUGAGCCGCCACAAUUAGGCCACUUGAGAGAUGUUGAUAUGGAUCCGAUGAGUCAUAAUGGGCUUGAAUUUUCAUACAUCAUCGGCCAUUCCAAAUUAUUCCUAACAGGAUUAGGACUUAGGUUUUUUCUAAAAUAAUCUUUUAAGAG
rnacentral:lncRNA from 1 species